GACGAACGCUGGCGGCGUGCUUAACACAUGCAAGUCGAACGGUAAGGCCCUUCGGGGUACACGAGUGGCGAACGGGUGAGUAACACGUGGGUGAUCUGCCCUGCACUUUGGGAUAAGCCUGGGAAACUGGGUCUAAUACCGAAUACACCCUGCUGGUCGCAUGGCCUGGUGGGGGAAAGCUUUUGCGGUGUGGGAUGGGCCCGCGGCCUAUCAGCUUGUUGGUGGGGUGAUGGCCUACCAAGGCGACGACGGGUAGCCGGCCUGAGAGGGUGACCGGCCACACUGGGACUGAGAUACGGCCCAGACUCCUACGGGAGGCAGCAGUGGGGAAUAUUGCACAAUGGGCGCAAGCCUGAUGCAGCGACGCCGCGUGAGGGAUGACGGCCUUCGGGUUGUAAACCUCUUUCAAUAGGGACGAAGCGCAAGUGACGGUACCUAUAGAAGAAGGACCGGCCAACUACGUGCCAGCCGCCGCAGUAA
rnacentral:rRNA from 1 species